AGUAACACGUAGGUAACCUGCCCAUGUGCCCGGGAUAACUGCUGGAAACGGUAGCUAAAACCGGAUAGGUAUGAGGGAGGCAUCUUCCUCAUAUUAAAGCACCUUCGGGUGUGAACAUGGAUGGACCUGCGGCGCAUUAGCUGGUUGGUGAGGUAACGGCCCACCAAGGCGAUGAUGCGUAGCCGACCUGAGAGGGUGAACGGCCACAUUGGGACUGAGACACGGCCCAA
rnacentral:rRNA from 1 species